rnacentral:rRNA from 1 species
UAAAUUGAGAGUUUGAUCCUGGCUCAGGACGAACGCUGGCGGCGUGCUUAACACAUGCAAGUCG